rnacentral:rRNA from 1 species
AGUGGCGCACGGGUGAGUAACGCGUGGGAACCUACCUUUUAGUACGGGACAACGUCUGGAAACGGACGCUAAUACCGUAUACGCCCUCCGGGGGAAAGGCUUGCCGCUAAAAGAGGGGCCCGCGUCUGAUUAGCUUGUUGGUGGGGUAACGGCCUACCAAGGCGACGAUCAGUAGCUGGUCUGAGAGGACGAUCAGCCACACUGGAACUGAGACACGGUCCAGACUCC